rnacentral:rRNA from 1 species
CCUACGGGAGGCAGCAGUAAGGAAUAUUGGACAAUGGUGGAAACACUGAUCCAGCCAUGCCGCGUGAAGGAUGACGGCCCUAUGGGUUGUAAACUUCUUUUGUACGGGAAAAAACCUCUUUACGUGUAAAGAGCUGAUUGUACUGUAAGAAUAAGGAUCGGCUAACUCCGUGCCAGCAGCCGCGGUAAUACGGAGGAUCCAAGCGUUAUCCGGAUUCAUUGGGUUUAAAGGGUGCGUAGGCGGAAUGAUAAGUCAGUGGUGAAAGCCUGCAGCUUAACUGCAGAACUGCCAUUGAUACUGUCAAUCUUGAGUACAUUUGAUGUGGGCGGAAUGUGUCAUGUAGCGGUGAAAUGCUUAGAUAUGACACAGAACACCGAUUGCGAAGGCAGCUCACAAAACUGUAACUGACGCUGAGGCACGAAAGCGUGGGUAUCAAACAGGAUUAGAUACCCGGGUAGUC